UAGGUAAUCUUCCGCAAUGGACGAAAGUCUGACGGAGCAACGCCGCGUGAGUGAAGAAGGAUUUCGGUUCGUAAAACUCUGUUGUUAGGGAAGAAAAAAUGUAUAGUAACUAUAUACAAAAGAGACGGUACCUAACCAGAAAGCCACGGCUAACUACGUGCCAGCAGCCGCGGUAAUACGUAGGUGGCAAGCGUUGUCCGGAAUUAUUGGGCGUAAAGCGCGCGCAGGUGGUUUAGAAAGUCUGAUGUGAAAGCCCACGGCUCAACCGUGGAGGGUCAUUGGAAACAAAUAAACUUGAGUGCAGGAGAGAAAAGUGGAAGUCAUAGUGUAGCGGUGAGAGGCGUACGGAUUAGGAGGAACACCGGUGGCGAAAGCGGCUUUUCGGCCUGCAACUGACACUGAGGCGCGAAAGCGUGGGGAGCAAACAGG
rnacentral:rRNA from 1 species